rnacentral:rRNA from 1 species
CCGCCCUACGGGACGCAGCAGUAGGGAAUCUUCCACAAUGGACGAAAGUCUGAUGGAGCAACGCCGCGUGAGUGAAGAAGGGUUUCGGCUCGUAAAGCUCUGUUGGUAGUGAAGAAAGAUAGAGGUAGUAACUGGCCUUUAUUUGACGGUAAUUACUUAGAAAGUCACGGCUAACUACGUGCCAGCAGCCGCGGUAAUACGUAGGUGGCAAGCGUUGUCCGGAUUUAUUGGGCGUAAAGCGAGUGCGGGCGGUUCAAUAAGGCGGAUGUGAAAGCCUUCGGCUCAGCCGGAGAAUUGCAUCAGAA